GGAUGCGAUCAUACCAGCACUAAAGCACCGGAUCCCAUCAGAACUCCGAAGUUAAGCGUGCUUGGGCGAGAGUAGUACCAGGAUGGGUGACCUCCUGGGAAGUCCUCGUGUUGCAUUCC
rnacentral:rRNA from 2 species